rnacentral:rRNA from 1 species
UACAGAGGUGGCAAGCGUUGUUCGGAAUUACUGGGCGUAAAGGGCGCGUAGGUGGCCUUCUUAGUCAGACGUGAAAUCCCCGGGCUUAACUCGGGAACUGCGUCUGAUACUGGAAGGCUCGAGUUCGGGAGAGGAAUGUGGAAUUCCAGGUGUAGCGGUGAAAUGCGCAGAUAUCAGGAAGAACACCCGUGGCGAAGGCGGCUCUCUGGGACGGUACUGACGCUGAGGUGCGAAAGCGUGGGGAGCAAACAGG